rnacentral:tRNA from 1 species
GUCCAGGGAUGUAAAUCGAACCCACAAUGUUCCGCUUACCGGGCAGAUGCCAUGUCCACUAGGCUACCCUGGA